rnacentral:misc_RNA from 1 species
GAUGAAGAACGCAGCGAAAUGCGAUAAGUAAUGUGAAUUGCAGAAUUCAGUGAAUCAUCGAAUCUUUGAACGCACAUUGCGCCCGCCAGCAUUCUGGCGGGCAUGCCUGUUCGAGCGUCAUUUCAACCCUCGAGCCCCCCCGGGGGCCUCGGUGUUGGGGGACGGCACACCAGCUGCCCCCGAAAUGCAGUGGCGACCCCGCCGCAGCCUCCCCUGCGUAGUAGCACACACCUCGCACCGGAGCGCGGAGGCGGUCACGCCGUAAAACGCCCAACUUUCUUAGAGUUGACCUCGGAUCAGGUAGGAAUACCCGCUGAACUUAAGCAUAUCAAUAAGCGGAGGA